ACGGGUGAGUAAUGCUUAUCUUACCUGCCGUUUAGUGGGGGACUAAAAUACCGCAUAUUCUGGUUUCGACCAGGAAAGGGCUUCGGCUCGCUAAAUGAUGGGGAUAAGGCGUAUUAGCUAGUUGGUGGGGUAAAGGCCUACCAAGGCAAAGAUGCGUAGCCAGGCUGAGAGGCUGAUUGGCCACGAGGGAACUGAAACACGGUCCCUACUCCUACGGGAGGCAGCAAUGAGGAAUCGUCGGCAAUGGGGGCAACCCUGACCGAGCAAUACUACGUGAAGGAGGAAGGUCUACGGAUUGUAAACUUCUGUUAGCAGGGAAGAAGGGCUGGACGUGAGUUCAGUUUUGACGGUACCUGCAGAGAAAGCCACGACUAACUACGUGCCAGCAGUCGCGGUAAGACGUAGGUGGCGAACGUUAUCCGGAAUUAUUGGGCGUAAAGGGUGCGUAGAUGGUGUAAUAAGUUAUCAGCGGUAAAUCGGGGCUCAACCUCGUGGAAGUCGGUAAUACUGUUAUACUUGAGUGCAGGAGAGGUUAACGGAACUCCAUGUGGAGCGGUAAAAUGCGUAGAUAUAUGGAAGAACACCAAUAACGGCGAAGGCAGUUAACUAUUCUGUUACUGACAUUGAGGCACGAAAGCGUGGGGAGCAAAAAGGAUUAGAUACCCUUGUAGUCCACGCCCUAAACGAUGAGUGCUAGAUAUUGGGAACUUGAUUCUCAGUGUCGCUAGUUAACACGGUAAGCACUCCGCCUGGGUAGUACGGUCGCAAGGCUGAAACUCAAAGGAAUUGACGGGGACUCGCACAAGCAGUGGAGCAUGUGGUUUAAUUCGAUACAACGCGCAGAACCUUACCAAGGCUUGACAUGGAGGGCAAUGUUAUUGAAAGGUAAUGGAGGUUAUCCGGACACAGGUGCUGCAUGGCCGUCGUCAGUUCGUGCCGUGAGGUGUAUGGUUAAGUCCUAUAACGAACGUAACCCUUAGGUUUAGUUGCCAGCAUUCAGUUGGGGACUCUAGACCGACUGCCCGAGUAAUCGGGAGGAAGGAAAGGAUGACGUCUGGUCGUC
rnacentral:rRNA from 1 species